GGGAAUGUGGUUCAGAGGAAGAGUGCUUGCCUAGCAUGCAUGAAGCCACAGGUUCGAUUCCUCAGUACCA
rnacentral:tRNA from 1 species